AUGUCAGGAAUUGUGAAAAGCUGAGUUUAAAUGUAUUUGGCUAAAGUGUAUGUACAUUUCCGACUUCAACUGUGUAUAUUGAGGACUAAUCUGAUUAAGGUGAGUUGUUUGUUUAGCCAAAUAAUAACUACAUUUUCGAUAUGUGCGUGAUGCUUUUAAAUAUUGUGGCCAUUGCAUCGGCACCAAGCUAACUGCGUUUCGCACUCGCUCUGCAACCAGUUCAUUUUAGCAGUCUUAUGAGUGUAUUUUACUGGACUAAUUAGGCCAUGUCCAUAUUUUGGGACAGUGAAUGUGAGUUGAAUAGUCUGUUUGCUGUAGUUUGGGACCUGCUUCAAGUAAUAUCAGAAAAGUUGUGGUCAUGAUCCAAUAUUUUCAAAAUAUACUUCGAAAUGAUCAUUGCUAAGUAAAGGAGUAUUGGUGAAAAUGUUUGUAGUCAUCCUGAUAUAAUGUGUCAUGAUUGAAAUACAAAUGUAAUGCUUUUCAUCCAUGCUGGCCUUAUCUCCUGCUUUCAGACCUAGUCAUGCUGAUCAGAGUGAAAUUCAAUGGUGAACAAAAUAUGUCAAGAUCAUUAACCUGACACUUGAAACCCUUUUUGAUUGGAAAUAAAUGUAUUGUUUUCAUACCAGUCAGUCUGAUUACUCAUACCAUUACAAUUGCAAUUCUAAUUGUAGGUUGUUGUCUUAAUGUUUGUCACAGUUUUCCUGAAAUUUGAGAUCCCACUUACUAGUUUAUAAAAGACAAAGCUGUGUGAUGGGUCUGGAACUGAAGUUGAUGGGGAUGUGUUUGAGAAGGUGGUGACAUGGACAGAUCUGGGUGUUUUCAAGCUCACACUGAACAAUGAUGCUAAAGAAUCUUCCCUGAUGAGUCCUGUCUCUGCCAGUUCUGUGAUGGGUGGUUCAGACCAUGAGUCGGUUGAUACAAUCAUUUUGAGUGAGGAUGGAAGCCCCUCACGGAAGUGUCAAAGAUCUGAUGAUGAAGCAAAAAAUAGAGCAUACUGAAGAAAAAGCCAGGUGGAGAGGUUGUCAUCAAGGAAUACUCCAAAACUAAAAGACUAACUGACUGCACCAGACGAAAGAUGAUCAACAUUCUUGUUUCGGCGAUGACAGAGACUCAUGGGACAUCACCACCGCGCAGUGUGAGAGAAACGUUUGCACAAGGCAUCGUCUCCUUGUUCCCAUACCUGAAGGAUCCCUGCACUGAAAAUGGAUAUGCAAGUGUACAUUACGACUGAUAAAGGGCAUCUGCGUUUAAUUAGUCUGGUAUGGUAUCUGAGCAAAUGGGACUUGGUUAUUUGUUUUUUCUUUCAAGAUUAGUAACCAUGUUCAUUUUCAUAAGGAACAUUAUUACGACCCUAAUAGUGGAGAAGGGUACCUCUCGUAUAGAAUCAAAACCAUUCAGAGGAAUUUGGUUUCAUCAGAGAAACGGCCCACUCAACUAUACUCUGGAGGGCCAACUGCUGAGAGGGAGUCCAGUCCACUUUGGCUACCCUGAGUGAAGACCAGUGCCGAGAGGCCAUUUCUCUUAUGAAGCAUUCUUCUGAUGAAGAAACAGAAGAUGAGAUUGACCUUUGAGUACAGGAACAUGACCCACAACCCGAGUAAAUGCUCCACCAUCCUAACCGAAUUUCCACGCUUUCUGGAUGUGAAGGGCUUGGUAAGAGUUGUUUCAGAUUGAACAGGAUUUUGUGCUGCUGUUUGGAGAGGGAACAUCAGCCAAGGUUUUGGAGAGGUGGCCAACUACAUUCAAGCAAAAGAUUGUCAUGCUAAGCAAGGCCCUAAGCAAGGCCACUCAGGGAGCUGAACUUCAGGAGCUGAUCCAGAUGGCAGAAUCUGCAGUUGAUGAGGGAACUGACAUGAAUGCUUACGGAUCUCUUUGAUUAGGAUGGGAAGGUGACCUUUCCUCCAUCCUUCUCCUGCUCCAUUUGAUUCCUCAUUCAUCACAAGGCCGCAAAAGACCAGGCAAGAUGUCUGCAUCUCAAGCUGAACAGCAUCUUGUGAUAUUCCAAAAGGCAGAAACCAGUAUCCAGGAGCACCUUGACGCGAUUGACCAGAGCCGCCAACCAUAUCUUCUUGCAGUCGGGACCAGGAAGAGCAGCAUCCAUGCUUACUUCAUCAUCCUGGACAAGAGCGCCUUGCAAGUCAACGAGCGCUCUUGGUGCUUCGAUGAGCUUUUCAAGACUCACUUUGUCUUUGGUACUGCUUACAAUACAAUGCUGCGCAACAUGUACACCUUCAUACAGACAACUGUGUACAUCAUAGACAUUGGGAAGGUUAAGGAGACUCCAAGGGUUGCUGAGCUCAGAGCUAGACCUCUGCGCUAAUGCUGAUAUGUUUUGUUUGCCAUGCUAGUCAUGGAAGUACCAACUUGCUCGUAAGGCAUCUCAAGUUGAUGCAUGGAAUGUGCCCUGGUAGAACUCUUAGAAUAAAAUGUGGUCAAGCAGAUUGUUGUCGUGUAUUUGGUUGUCGUGUAUUUUCAGACUUUAGGAAGCAUUUGAACAGAGCACAAUCCAGAGACUGUCAAAUUUUGUUAAACGCUAACUUGAAUGCUAAUACAGCUGUUGAUAAUUAGCCAAGUAAUGCUGAUUUUCCUUCAAAUUCUAGUUGUAACCAUGUACCAAUAUCUAACAAGAACACACUUGAUAUGUGUGUGUCUGCUAUUGCACAGAUGCAGGUAUAGGUCAGACUGUAAAUAGUUUUGUAUCUUCCAUGGAAGAAGCAGUUCAAGAGAUACAGGGUCAAGCUAAUGCGACCGCUCUUACAUGUAUAUCUUCAAAAGACACACAAAUUGUCAGAAAAAUACAACAUUAUUUUCAGGAUAUUGAAAAUCCUUUCACAUUGUUGAAUUCAGUAUCAAAACGAAGUGCUUAUUUUAUACAAAAAUGGGGAACAAGUCAACCAGUUGAGAGUCCUUGGUGUUAGAUUUGACAAUAGAAGAAACAACACUACUGGAACUUAUGAUCAAAUGGUCAUAACUGAUCAAUUUUCUUACGUUCCAAUUCUCCAGACAUUGCAGUUCAUUUUGAAGAACCCAAAUACAAGUGGCAUGUUUAACUCGGGGGACAAUUUAAAAAUUGAGUUUACUUUGAUUUGAAAGCUGAACUAUAUAUGAAGAGACAUCCUCUCUUUUCUAAAGAGUAAAGAGUUGAAUUUCCAAUGCAUUUAUGAUGACUGACACUGCUAAUCCAUUGGGAUCAAAAAAGUGAAUUCACAAGUUGGGAGGUACAUACUUUACUUUGAGAAAUUUUACCCCAAAGUUUAAUUCAAUUUUGGUAAAUAUUCACUUAUGUGCACUCUUCCAUACCCAGGACCUUAAACGUAGGGAUUUGAUUCCAUUCUUGAGCAAAUAGUUAGCGAUUUGAAAGUGCUUGAGACUGAGGGUAUUGAAGUUCCCUUCUUCAGUGGUCGUAUACAUGGCAGUAUUGUCCAAGUAACUGGAGAUAAUCUUGGUAUACGUUGCCUGUUUGGUUUUGUGCUCGUUAUUGUUGCCGUUUUUGCCUCACUGAGAAAGUGGAUUUUCAAACUGUGUUCUCUGAGGAUGACCCAAGAGUGACUUUAUGAACGAAACACAUGCAACUCAGACUAUUGUCAAACUAUUAAGUCAAACCCAACACGGUGUGAAGCAUGCUUGCUUAUUGAACUCUCUCCAGUACUUCAAUACUACAGACAGCUUUUCUGUUGAUAUUAUGCAUGACAUUUUAGGAGUUGCACAACUUGAGGUAAAACUUGUGUUACAGUAUAUACAAGACAACUUUGUGACUGCUAAAGAUGUGUACGGUAGAGUUCAUUCAUUUAACUAUGGCUAUCGUCCACCUGCACUCAAAUUGGAUGAUGGGAGCAAUGAUUUGGGUCUAAAUACUAUUCAAUCUUGGUGUCUUCUCCGUAAUUUGCCAUUGAUAUUUGGUGAUCUGGUACAGAAAUAUGAUAAAUACUGGCAGCUGCUUCUGUUACUACUACAAAUUGUAAAUAUUGUGUUUUCUCCUAUACUAACAGAGGGCAUGACUAUCUAUCUGAAGCACUUAAUUGCUGAACAUCAUAGGCUUUUCAAGUAUUUGUUUCCUGAUAGAAAUCUGUUACCGAAACACCACUUCAUGAUACAUUAUCGUCGUUGUAUAAGGAACAUCGGGCCCAUUCUUCAUUCGUGGUGUAUGCGCUACGAGGCAAAACAUUAUUUCUUUAAAAAGCAACUGAAGUGUUUUAAGAAUAGCUAUCAGCCAGGAUGGACUAGCUACAGGUCCAGGAUGGACUAGCUAUAGGUCCAGGAUGGACUAGCUAUAGGUCCAGGAUGGACUAGCUAUAGGUCCAGGAUGGACUAGCUAUAGGUCCAGGAUGGACUAGCUAUAGGUCCAGGAUGGGCUAGCUAUAGGUCCAGGAUGGGCUAGCUAUAGGUCCAGGAUGGGCUAGCUAUAGGUCCAGGAUGGACUAGCUAUAGGUCCAGGAUGGACUAGCUAUAGGUCCAGGAUGGACUAGCUAUCAGCCAGGAUGGACUAGCUAUAGGUCCAGGAUGGACUAGCUAUAGGUCCAGGAUGGACUAGCUAUAGGUCCAGGAUGGACUAGCUAUAGGUCCAGGAUGGACUAGCUAUCAGCCAGGAUGGACUAGCUAUAGGUCCAGGAUGGACUAGCUAUCAGCCAGGAUGGACUAGCUAUAGGUCCAGGAAAUAUGUCAAGGCUUAAUGAGCUGAAAGAAAGCCAUGAGAUUGCUGCCAAGUUGAAUGUCUCAGUGCGCACACAUGUUUUGUCAGUUAAAUGGGUAAAGCCCCAUGGUACAGAAUAUCAUCUUGAUUUGGUCAUAUGUGGUGAAGUAGUCAUUGAAAUGCCACUAUUUUACAAAAUGAAGGCUAUUCUGAAAGAGGAAAAUGUUUUUUAGGUUGGGUCAGCUCUUGAAACCUUAUGUUUUGAUGAUCAUUUGCAUGCAUUCAAAGUUUUGAAGCAAAGUCCACCAUGCAAAGUAUUUUAUGUAAAUAACAUGUACCACAAACCUUUUCAUUUGCUCAUGUCAUAUGGAGCAAGGGAUUAUUUUGACUACAUUCUACUGUCACUUGAUAACAGUUUAAGCCAGGGCUGGGACUUGUGGUUUGGUCAUAAUAAACAUAAUUGAAUGU